GACGAACGCUGGCGGCGUGCCUAAUACAUGCAAGUCGAGCGGAACUGGGGGAGCUUGCUCCUUCCAGUUUAGCGGCGGACGGGUGAGUAACACGUGGGCAACCUGCCCUGCAGAUCGGGAUAACUCCGGGAAACCGGUGCUAAUACCGAAUAGUUUGGCGCCUCUCCUGAGGCGCUACGGAAAGACGGUUUCGGCUGUCACUGCAGGAUGGGCCCGCGGCGCAUUAGCUAGUUGGGGGGGUAACGGCCCACCAAGGCGACGAUGCGUAGCCGACCUGAGAGGGUGACCGGCCACACUGGGACUGAGACACGGCCCAGACUCCUACGGGAGGCAGCAGUAGGGAAUCUUCCGCAAUGGACGCAAGUCUGACGGAGCAACGCCGCGUGAGUGACGAAGGUUUUCGGAUCGUAAAACUCUGUUGUGAGGGAAGAACACGUACCAACUAACUAUUGGUACCUUGACGGUACCUCACCAGAAAGCCACGGCUAACUUCGUGCCAGCCGCCGCGGUAA
rnacentral:rRNA from 1 species